rnacentral:snRNA from 1 species
AGAUGUGAGGACGAUCUGGUUGUGACAUCUGUCACCCAUUGAUCUCCAGGGUUGAUUCGGCCCAUCUGGCUGGUUAGUCGGCUGUCCCCUUCCUCCUUCACCACUCCAUGUGCGUCCCUCCCGAGGCUGCUGCUUGCUGGCUGGAAGAGGAUGACCUUGCUCCAUAGAG